rnacentral:lncRNA from 1 species
CUCCUCAUCAUAAUUUUCCAUUCUUCACAAAAAAUCAACAUCACAGCAGCAACAAAUCAACACAACAGCAGCAACAAAUAAAAAGAACCUGAUGCUCAAUAAUUUUACUAACUAAUAUCAAUUGUACGCACAUAGAACAAUAUAUGUACAAGAAUUGAUUCCCAUAUUCAUUGAUAAAUAUAGACUCCUUAAUUAAUGCACCGAAUCAGUGUACAAUUUGAGCAACUAGCUGGCUAGGUAAAGUUGUAUAAUCAAAAUUUCAUGAAUUAAAAGUAGUAAAUAACAAAACAUCUGUAAAGGUGGCUUUAAGCUCUUUUAUUAAUUUUCUUAUUUUCCAAAGAUCAGAGAUCCCUGGAGAAUGUUAAAGGUUCAUAUAAUAUGAUGUUAACAACUAAGAAGUGUGACUUUUGUCUCUUAUUAUUUAUUUAUUUAUUUAUUUUUAUUAUUUUUUCUGGCCGUGGUUAGAACUUAGAACUGCUAUCUAUGAGUUGUAGCUGGUCAAGUUGACAUCUUGCCCAUCACGUGGUGUUUUCAAUUAACUCAAAGAAUGUAAAUUGUCCAUUCUGAAUUUAGAGAACGAACGACCUGGUGGCACAUACCCGGUCUAGCUUGAGAGCUUCAAGAUAUGCAGCGUCUUGUUCUUCUCUUAGCUGACGAUCUGCUCUUAUCUUUUCUUGUUCCCUGGCCCUGGCUCUUGUCCUUUCUUCCUCCUUUACCGGAGCACCAGCACCACCAAAAGCCAAUCCUUGUUCCUCUACUGUUCUCUGCAAGAUCUCC